GGCCUUUCCACAGCGCUAGACCAGGCCCCAAAGGGCCAGCGAGGGUCCGCGGGGUGCAGCACCAGAAAGCCACCUCUCUUCCGCAAUCGGCCUAGCUGAGGCUUGAGGAAGAGGGCGUUAAGUUCCCGGGGGUCUAGACCUGGGCAGGAGUAAGGCCUGGAUGCCCAGAUCCCACCUCCGAGUCUCCUUCAGCCCUCCGGGGUGUUCUGCGGGAUAACGGCCGCCCUGCAGUCACCCUGCUGCGGAGGGAGCCCUGGUCCAGUCAGCGACCCCGGCCUCUCUCUCUGCCUCCUUCCACGUUCCCACCCCUGCCGAGAGCACCGCCCCAUUACUUGAUUAGGUCCCUGUAGUCCACGAAGGAUAAGAUGAGGAGCAGAGGGUCGGUGGGUAGCGACUCCAGGGUCAGCAACCCUGUCUCGGCCUCUACGGCAGCCAUCUUGCCCAGCCCGCUGCAGCCUGGCACCACCCCGGCCCCGCCCCCGCCGCCCGAACCGCUCCGCGGCUGCUUGCACAGGACAGAGGAGGACAGGAUAUAGCCUGCCCCUCUGAUUUAGUGCCACAGGCAUGGGGACUGAACGGAGUAAGACCCCUGUAGGACGGGAAGGUGCAAUUCAUCAGCUUCGUAAAGACGCUAUUAAGCCACCCUCUUGUUUUCUUGGAAUCCAAGGCUAUAACCUUCUUGGCCAGGUACCUGGCUUGGGUGAUGAGUAGCCUUGCCAGCUGAAUACAUUUUAAGGAUCCUGUAUUGACUGUUUCCAAUAUGGUGGAUCAAGAAUAUGUCCAGGAAAGACUUGUAAUCCCAAAGCCUGCCAACACUGAAUCGCUCCUGUGUCUGGAAUCUUACUGUGCUCUACUGAGACCUAAACAGCUAGAUGGCCUGUGUCACAAGAGUGGUUAAGCUACAGCUGUGUCAUCAGUAACACUUGUGUAAACUCAGACGGGCUAGGUUUUACUUUAUUGUCAAUACUCUCCAUUAAAAUGUAAAAAGUA